rnacentral:rRNA from 1 species
UACGUAGGGUGCGAGCGUUAAUCGGAAUUACUGGGCGUAAAGCGUGCGCAGGCGGUUUUGUAAGUCAGAUGUGAAAGCCCCGGGCUUAACCUGGGAAUGGCAUUUGGGACUGCAAGGCUUGAAUCUGGCAGAGGGGGGUAGAAUUCCACGUGUAGCAGUGAAAUGCGUAGAGAUGUGGAGGAACACCGAUGGCGAAGGCAGCCCCCUGGGUCAAGAUUGACGCUCAUGCACGAAAGCGUGGGGAGCAAACAGG